rnacentral:rRNA from 1 species
GCUUCAGUACGACCCAGUCAGAACAAUAAGUCUCAAAGCCCCGACGAGUAGGGUGGCGUGCCGGUGCGCGUUGAAGGCCAAGACGUGAGUCAGGCUGGAGCCGCCGGUAGUGCAGAUCUUGGUGGUAGUAGCAAGUACUCUGGUGAACCAACCUGGAGCUGUGAGGUCUGGAUUAGGGUUCCAUGUCAACAGUGAUUGAACAUGGGUGAGUCGAUCCUAAGCCAACUGUGAAAGCAGUGACAUCCCGACAACGGGGCAGUCAUGCCCGGCACUUACACCCCCAAAAGCUAACUCUUGAGUCUCUCUCUCGAAAAGGGUCUGGUACGGCAUACACACGGUGAUCACUAGUGUGAGUGUGUGUGCGUCUGGUUACGCUCAUAAGCGUUGUCGAGAGAGAGAGAAAGAGAGUGUGGGUGAGCGUGAGUUUGCUCUUGCAUGAGUCCCCUGAGUCUGGUUCUAUGUCUGGCGAAAGGGAAUGGGGACUUUGUUCCUUGACCGGUCCCGGCACCCUCGAUUGGCUUUGCCAAUUAAUGGUCCAUGCAAAUGGAGCCAGGCCACAGCCGCCGGCAGUCGCCCGAGGAAGAGUUUUCUUUUCUGCUUAACGCACGAGGUCAUCCCUGGAAACAGUUCGGCUGGCGAAAGGGUGCCCCGUUGCGGCAGA